rnacentral:rRNA from 1 species
UACGGAGGGUGCAAGCGUUGUCCGGAAUCACUGGGCGUAAAGGGCGCGUAGGCGGCUCGGUAAGUAGGGGGUGAAAUCUCCGGGCUUAACCCGGAAAGGUCAAUCGAUACUGCGGGGCUAGAGUGCAGAAGGGGCAACUGGAAUUCUCGGUGUAGCGGUGAAAUGCGUAGAUAUCGAGAGGAACACCUGCGGCGAAGGCGGGUUGCUGGGCUGACACUGACGCUGAAGCGCGAAAGCUAGGGGAGCGAACGGG